rnacentral:rRNA from 1 species
CUACGGGGUGCACCAGGCGAGAAAACUUUGCAAUGUGCGAAAGCACGACAAGGUUAAUCCGAGUGGUUUGUGCUAAACGAACCUUUUGACAGUCCUAGAAACACUGUUGAAUAAGGGGUGGGCAAGUUCUGGUGUCAGCCGCCGCGGUAAAACCAGCACCUCAAGUGGUCAGGAUGAUUAUUGGGCCUAAAGCAUCCGUGGCCGGCUCUGUAAGUUUUCGGUUAAAUCUGUACGCUCAACGUACAGGCUGCCGGGAAUACUGCAGAGCUAGGGAGUGGGAGAGGUAGACGGUACUCGGUAGGAAGGGGUAAAAUCCUUUGAUCUAUUGAUGACCACCUGUGGCGAAGGCGGUCUACCAGAACACGUCCGGCGGUGAGGGAUGAAAGCUGGGGGAGCAAACCGGAUUAGAUACCCCCGUAGUC